rfam:Populus trichocarpa scaffold_2_contig_97, whole genome shotgun sequence.
AGGACCCAAAUCUCUUGGGUCAGGCGUGGGGACCCAAGUCUAAUGGGUCCUAUGUCAGGACCCAUUUCUCUUGAGUCCGAUGUCAGGACCCAAGGUUCUUGGGUCUU